CUACAAGUUCCAGGAACCAGCGCGAGCCAGUUGGCGGGAAUUUUGCCGCCGUUAGGCAGUCUGGUGGUGUCUUCUGAGGGAACAGGGUCCAGUGUCUUACCUGUUCCUGCUGCCUCUCUGCCCGCCUGCUCCCUGUUGUUUCCAUCCAUCGCGACGAGGAUCCAUCGCAUCGGAGUUUUGCUGAUUCUGCCUGCUGCCACCGAGGUUUUGGUGUCUUGCUAUUAAAGU